AUACCUCUCUGUACGGGAAGGAUGAGAAGCUUCGACUAAGGUUCGAUUCGAGCGUCAGCGAGAAAGCGUUGCCGCAGGCAACGACCCGAAGGGCGAAGCGCGCAGCGCUGAGUCAUCCUUCCCCCACCACCA
rnacentral:sRNA from 1 species